UACGAUUUGAUGCAAGGUUAAGCAGUAAAUGUGGAGCCGUAGCGAAAGCGAGUCUGAAUAGGGCGUUUAGUAUUUGGUCGUAGACCCGAAACCAGGUGAUCUACCCUUGGUCAGGUUGAAGUUCAGGUAACACUGAAUGGAGGACCGAACCGACUUACGUUGAAAAGUGAGCGGAUGAACUGAGGGUAGCGGAGAAAUUCCAAUCGAACCUGGAGAUAGCUGGUUCUCUCCGAAAUAGCUUUAGGGCUAGCCUCAAGUGAUGAUUAUUGGAGGUAGAGCACUGUUUGGACGAGGGGCCCCUCUCGGGUUACCGAAUUCAGACAAACUCCGAAUGCCAAUUAAUUUAACUUGGGAGUCAGAACAUGGGUGAUAAGGUCCGUGUUCGAAAGGGAAACAGCCCAGACCACCAGCUAAGGUCCCAAAAUAUAUGUUAAGUGGAAAAGGAUGUGGCGUUGCCCAGACAACUAGGAUGUUGGCUUAGAAGCAGCCAUCAUUUAAAGAGUGCGUAAUAGCUCACUAGUCGAGUGACACUGCGCCGAAAAUGUACCGGGGCUAAACAUAUUACCGAAGCUGUGGAUUGUCCUUUGGACAAUGGUAGGAGAGCGUUCUAAGGGCGUUGAAGCAUGAUCGUAAGGACAUGUGGAGCGCUUAGAAGUGAGAAUGCCGGUGUGAGUAGCGAAAGACGGGUGAGAAUCCCGUCCACCGAUUGACUAAGGUUUCCAGAGGAAGGCUCGUCCGCUCUGGGUUAGUCGGGUCCUAAGCUGAGGCCGACAGGCGUAGGCGAUGGAUAACAGGUUGAUAUUCCUGUACCACCUAUAAUCGUUUUAAUCGAUGGGGGGACGCAGUAGGAUAGGCGAAGCGUGCGAUUGGAUUGCACGUCUAAGCAGUAAGGCUGAGUAUUAGGCAAAUCCGGUACUCGUUAAGGCUGAGC
rnacentral:rRNA from 1 species